rnacentral:rRNA from 1 species
UGAGGAAUAUUGGUCAAUGGAGGAAACUCUGAACCAGCCAAGUCGCGUGAAGGAUGACGGUCCUAUGGAUUGUAAACUUCUUUAGUAGGCGAGUAAGGAUAGGUACGUGUACCUAUUAGAAAGUAGCCUAAGAAUAAGUAUCGGCUAACUCCGUGCCAGCAGCCGCGGUAAUACGGAGGAUACGAGCGUUAUCCGGAUUUAUUGGGUUUAAAGGGUGCGUAGGUGGCUGAUUAAGUCAGUGGUGAAAAGCUAUGGCUCAACCAUAGUCUUGCCGUUGAUACUGGUUAGCUUGAGUGUAGAUGAUGUAGGCGGAACGUGUAGUGUAGCGGUGAAAUGCAUAGAUAUUACGCAGACCUCCGAUUGCGAAGGCAGCUUACGGGAGCGCAACUGACGCUAAAGCUCGACGGUGCGGGUAUCGAACAGG